rnacentral:rRNA from 1 species
CAGCGCCACAAGUGGCAACCACGUUUAUUGGGCCUAAAGCAUCCGUAGCCGGCGCUGUAAGUUUUCGGUUAAAUCUGUACGCUCAACGUACAGGCUGCCGGGAAUACUGCAGCGCUAGGGAGUGGGAGAGGUAGACGGUACUCGGUAGGAAGGGGUAAAAUCCUUUGAUCUAUUGAUGACCACCUGUGGCGAAGGCGGUCUACCAGAACACGUCCGACGGUGAGGGAUGAAAGCUGGGGGAGCAAACCGGAUUAGAUACCCGUGUAGUCC